rnacentral:rRNA from 1 species
CAGUCGCCGCGGUAAUACGGAGGGAGCUAGCGUUGUUCGGAAUUACUGGGCGUAAAGCGCGCGUAGGCGGUUACUCAAGUCAGAGGUGAAAGCCCGGGGCUCAACCCCGGAACUGCCUUUGAAACUAGGUGACUAGAAUCUUGGAGAGGUCAGUGGAAUUCCGAGUGUAGAGGUGAAAUUCGUAGAUAUUCGGAAGAACACCAGUGGCGAAGGCGACUGACUGGACAAGUAUUGACGCUGAGGUGCGAAAGCGUGGGUAGCAAACAGGAUUAGAUACCCCUGUAGUCCCUGUCUCUUAUAC